rnacentral:rRNA from 1 species
UACGUAGGUGGCAAGCGUUGUCCGGAUUACUGGGCGUAAAGAGCGCGCAGGCGGUCGUUCAAGUCGCGUGUGAAAGCCCCCGGCUCAACUGGGGAGGGUCACGCGAUACUGAUCGACUCGAAGGCAGGAGAGGGUAGUGGAAUUCCCGGUGUAGUGGUGAAAUGCGUAGAUAUCGGGAGGAACACCAGUGGCGAAGGCGACUACCUGGCCUGUUCUUGACGCUGAGGCGCGAAAGCUAGGGGAGCAACGGG